GAUGAACGCUGGCGGCGUGCCUAAUACAUGCAAGUCGAGCGAACAGACGAGGAGCUUGCUCCUCUGACGUUAGCGGCGGACGGGUGAGUAACACGUGGAUAACCUACCUAUAAGACUGGGAUAACUUCGGGAAACCGGAGCUAAUACCGGAUAAUAUAUUGAACCGCAUGGUUCAGUAGUGAAAGACGGUUUUGCUGUCACUUAUAGAUGGAUCCGCGCCGCAUUAGCUAGUUGGUAAGGUAACGGCUUACCAAGGCGACGAUGCGUAGCCGACCUGAGAGGGUGAUCGGCCACACUGGAACUGAGACACGGUCCAGACUCCUACGGGAGGCAGCAGUAGGGAAUCUUCCGCAAUGGGCGAAAGCCUGACGGAGCAACGCCGCGUGAGUGAUGAAGGUCUUCGGAUCGUAAAACUCUGUUAUUAGGGAAGAACAAAUGUGUAAGUAACUAUGCACGUCUGGACGGUACCUAAUCAGAAAACCACGGCUAACUACGU
rnacentral:rRNA from 1 species